GAGCAGUUGGUUUCGUUGUCUUAAUUUGGGGCAGUAAUGAUUUCUGAGAAGCAGGUGAUUGAUAACGCGCAAAUUCAAAGCCCCUUGGGGGCUGCAUUGUAGCAUGGUGUGGGGAUGGGGAGACAGAGGGCUGGUAGGAUCCCGAAUUCCUAGUUUUUCUCUCCCUCUCCCUUGCUUCUUCAUUUUCUUCCUUCAGGCUUUCUUCCAUUUCUUUCUUCCAUCAAAUAUUUGUGGAGCUGGAACUGGGCUUCACUAUCAUAUUCCAAGGCCCUGUACUGGGAACAGACAAAGAAGCUCCUCCCAGAGACUGGAAGAAUGGUACAAGGUGUGAAAACCAAGGCUUAAAGCAUGCAAGUUAUUUGCCCGAGGUUUUUCAGCCACAAAUGAAGAAGCUGGGUCUGCUCCACACCUGUGAACCAGGCUAUUUCCACCAUAACCUGAACUCAGAUGAGCACCAGCCCAUGGAGAAUAGUCCAGAAGGCUGCCCAUAGCCUUAAAGGACAGUGUGAGCAUUAAUCACAGCCUGUUGCAUUUGAAGACCACCUCCGGAACAAUGUCGUUUUAAAUCUAUGCCCAAGGCUGAACUUGGAUUGGAAAGAUGGGAGAGACAGCAGGCCUGGGUGUAUUCAGGAUUAUUUCCUAAUAACUCACUCUCUCCUCCCUCCUCCCUUUCUUGAAACAGCCUCACAAAAUGAGUGUUAUAUUCUGGAUUAUCAGAAGAGAAAUGUGAGAUGCAGGCAGGUUGAGAAAAUUGCUCCAAGUCACUUCGGGAAUGUGUGCAUGGACAAGGUAGGUCCACCUGGGAUUGUUCAGCUGCAAGAUCAACACAGGGCCAAGUCAGAAAACACAGAUUUCCCAUCAAACCUGGGUUCUGUGAAAAUAAGAUCUUAAUGGAAACUC
rnacentral:lncRNA from 1 species